AGAACGAACGCUGGCGGCAUGCCUAAUACAUGCAAGUCGAACGAACUCUUCGGAGUUAGUGGCGCACGGGUGCGUAACGCGUGGGAAUCUGCCCCUUGGUUCGGAAUAACAGUUGGAAACGACUGCUAAUACCGGAUGAUGACGAAAGUCCAAAGAUUUAUCGCCAAGGGAUGAGCCCGCGUAGGAUUAGCUAGUUGGUGAGGUAAAGGCUCACCAAGGCAACGAUCCUUAGCUGGUCUGAGAGGAUGAUCAGCCACACUGGGACUGAGACACGGCCCAGACUCCUACGGGAGGCAGCAGUAGGGAAUAUGGACAAUGGGCGAAAGCCUGAUCCAGCAAUGCCGCGUGAGUGAUGAAGGCCUUAGGUUGUAAAGCUCUUUACCCGAGAUGAUAAUGACAGUAUCGGAGAAUAAGCCCGGCUAACUCCGCGCCAGCAGCCGC
rnacentral:rRNA from 1 species